rnacentral:rRNA from 1 species
CACGUAGGGGGCAAGCGUUGUCCGGAUUUAUUGGGCGUAAAGAGCUCGUAGGCGGCUCAGUAAGUCGGGUGUGAAACCUCCAGGCUCAACCUGGAGACGCCACCUGAUACUGCUGUGGCUAGAGUCCGGUAGGGGAGCGUGGAAUUCCUGGUGUAGCGGUGAAAUGCGCAGAUAUCGGGAAGAACACCCGUGGCGAAGGCGGCUCUCUGGGACGGUACUGACGCUGAGACGCGAAAGCGUGGGGAGCGAACAGG